rnacentral:rRNA from 1 species
UACGUAGGCACCAAGCGUUGUCCGGAUUUAUUGGGCGUAAAGAGCUCGUAGGCGGUUCGGUAAGUCAGGUGUGAAACCUUUGGGCUCAACCCAAAGCCUGCAUCUGAUACUGCUGUGACUAGAGUUCGGUAGGGGAGCGGGGAAUUCCUAGUGUAGCGGUGAGAUGCGCAGAUAUUAGGAGGAACACCGGUGGCGAAGGCGCCGCUCUGGGCCGAAACUGACGCUGAGGAGCGAAAGCGUGGGUAGCAAACAGG